GCCCAUUGCGUUGCUGAAGGCAUCAGUUCUCCCUGACCAGAGCAAUCCCCCUCCUCCCCCCAUUGACACUGUAGAACAAAUCUGGUGGCCGCCGGUGUAGCAAAGAUCAACCAUCCGGCGUCCAAGCCCGGCACCUAGAUGGAGCCUCCGGAUCGUCCACGCAAGAGGGGUCUACCCAAUGGUGAUGGAGAAACCAACUUAACAAAGAAAAAGUCAAGAUCCAACCAUGAAGAAGGCGAAGGCCGAGACGGCGACGGCGACGCUGCGGAUCCCAUCAUAGUUUCGAGCGGCGGCGCUGGCAUAGUUGCAUCGGAAAGAUCGGAUUUAGAGACUGAAGACAGAAGGAAGGCAGCGAGGGGGGCUCAAAAGAGGAAACAACCAUCUGCUGGAGGAUCUGUGACCGGGGCGAAGAAGAAAAGAUCUCGCAGACCCCUGGUACUAGUUCCGGCCGCCGGAUCUCGACCUGCACGAACCAGAACUUCGGUAGCUGCUAGGCAUCUUGUGGCCGUUGGUCCACCUGGGAUGGAACGAGAGAGUCAGGUACUCCGUGGUAGGAUUGUUAGGUGCACCUGGACUAGCAAGCACAUCGUCCGACUUGGGCUAAGGUACUACCACGUAGUGCAUAGGACCGGCAUGGCCAGUUUGUUGACCACUGCUUGGUCUGGAGAGGCAGAUAGGCGAUUCUACGCCUGGCUGCUUAGCAGAUUCCGUUGGCAAGAUAUGAGAUUCACCUUCCCUGACGGGCAAUAUAGGAUUUUUAGCCCAACGUCCAUAGUUAGAACCUUGGGUCUAAGGAAUAGUGGGUGACAUGUCAGCUUACUGAAGAUACCUCCCAAACAGAGGCAGAACAUAGCAGAGGAGAUCAGGAGUGUGCUGAACAUAGAUACUAAGGCGGCCACAAGAGAUGGUGGAUUAAGCAUAGAAGCCAUCUUAGAGAUGUUCCGAGGCAUGAAUCCACUGAAACUAACUAGGGUUCAGGAGAGAGCUGCCGAGAUGGGGUUUUCAUUACUAUCUGCUAGUACAUAUGUUGCCCCCAAGCAAUCGUACCAAAACCUACUUGGGAAAUCCUUGCAUGUGUGCUAUGUGAAGGCGGGACAGGGGUUUUUGACCUGGCAGAAUGGGCAUUUGAAGUAAUUAGGGCAGCAGUCAAGAAGCUAGCUGAUGAUCUUGCAGCUGGGGUAUGAACAUUCAGAGUACCAGGGUGCCAUUUGGCGAUCAUUACAAUGUGGAACCAAAUAAACUCCCUAGAGUCAGCGAGUACACUGAAGAUAAGAUCAAGAAGCUGAUCUACUUGCUAAGAGAAUACCCUACACAAUUCAGGGUAUGAAUGAAGUAGCAUUUGUUCUUUCGCGUGUCCAAUAU